rnacentral:lncRNA from 10 species
CUCCACUGUAUGCUGAGCUCCAGUGCACUGUAUGCACUGAGGGCCUGUGGAAGUGGUCUUGGGGGAGAGUAGAGACAGGAACAAAUUGAACAGUACACCCAGCCCUGAAGUGUUACUUUCCUGUGGCUGCCACAAUAAAUUUGCACACGUUUAGUGGCUUAAAGCAACAUAGAUUUGUUAUCUUACAGUUCUAGAGGUCAGAAGGCUGAAAUGGGUCUCACUGGCUAGAAUCAAGGCGGCAGAGCUGGGCUCCUGCUGCAGGCUCUGUGGGGUAGUCUGCUCCUUUCUUUUUCCAGCUUCUAGAAGUGUCUGCUUUCCUUGAUCGAGGCUGUUGCAUCUUCAGCUCCAGCAGGCAGCAAGCACAUCUCCUCUGGCCUCUGCUUCUGCCAUCUCACCUCCUUCUCUGGCUCUCCUGCCUUCCUCUUCUGCUUUGAAGGACCCUUGUGAUUAGAUCGGGCCUGCCUGGAUAAUCCAGCACAGUCUCCCCUCUCAAGAUCCUUAAUUUAAUCAUAGCUGCACAGUCCCUUUUGUCCUGUAAGAGACAUCUUCACAGGUUUUGGGGAUUAGGACCAGACCGUCUUUGGAGGGGCAUCCUUCUGCCUGCCAUAUGUGACUUGGGGGCAUGCGGGAAAUGGCUGGAGCGUAACCACAAAGCAUACAGCAUGCAGCCAAGCAACAUGUGACAAGAUGAAUCCACAAGCGCUGGGGAGACAACCAGUGAGGAAGAAGCCCAGGAGACUUCUUGGAGGAAGCGAGUUUCAAACCAGAGACAGGAGCUCACCCUGUCACCUAGACUGGAGUGCAGUGGCACAGUCAUAAUUCACUGCAGCCUCAAUCUUCCAAGCUCAAGUGAUCCUCCUGCCUCAGCCUCCUGAGUAGCUGGGACCACAGACACUCACUACCAUACUCAGGGACCUGGGCUCCUUCAGUUGCAUGGCUUGAACACCUU